rnacentral:rRNA from 1 species
GUAGGGUGCAAGCGUUGUCCGGAAUUAUUGGGCGUAAAGAGCUCGUAGGCGGUCUGUCGCGUCGGCUGUGAAAACCCGUGGCUCAACCACGGGCCUGCAGUCGAUACGGGCAGACUAGAGUGCGGUAGGGGAGACUGGGAUUCCUGGUGUAGCGGUGAAAUGCGCAGAUAUCAGGAGGAACACCGGUGGCGAAGGCGGGUCUCUGGGCCGUAACUGACGCUGAGGAGCGAAAGCGUGGGGAGCGAACAGGAUUAGAUACCCUGGUAGUCCACGCCGUAAACGUUGGGCGCUAGGUGUCGGGGACCUUCCACGUCCUCGGUGCCGCAGCUAACGCAUUAAGCGCCCCGCCCGGGGAGUACGGCCGCAAGGCUA